rnacentral:rRNA from 1 species
CCUACGGGUGGCAGCAGUGGGGGAUAUUGCACAAUGGGGGAAACCCUGAUGCAGCGACGCCGCGUGGGUGAAGAAGUAUUUCGGUAUGUAAAGCCCUAUCAGCAGGGAAGAAAGAAGACGGUACCUGACUAAGAAGCCCCGGCUAACUACGUGCCAGCAGCCGCGGUAAUACGUAGGGGGCGAGCGUUAUCCGGAUUCACUGGGUGUAAAGGGAGCGUAGACGGCCGUGCAAGCCAGGAGUGAAAGCCCGGGGCUCAACCCCGGGACUGCUCUUGGAACUGUGCGGCUGGAGUGCGGGAGGGGCAGGCGGAAUUCCUGGUGUAGCGGUGAAAUGCGUAGAUAUCAGGAGGAACACCGGCGGCGAAGGUGGCCUGCUGGACCGCGACUGACGUUGAGGCUCGAAAGCGUGGGGAGCGAACAGGAUUAGAUACCCCGGUAGUC